AUUGAACGCUGGCGGCAGGCCUAACACCUGCAAGUCGCACGAGUGGCGGACGGGUGAGUACUGUCUGGGAAACUGCCCGAUGGAGGGGGAUAACUACUGGAAACGGUAGCUAAUCCCGCAUACCCUCGGACCUGCCCAGAGGGGCUUAGCUAGAAGGUGGGGUAACGGCUCACCUAGGCGACGAUCCCGAGCUGGUCAGAGAGGAUGACCAGCAACAAUGGAAGUGAGACACGGUCCAGACUCCUACGGGAGGCAGCGGGGGGGAAUAUUAGACAAUGGGCGCAAGCCUGAGGCAGCCAUGCCGCGUGUAUGAAGAAGGCCUUCGGGUUGUAAAGGACUUUCAGCGAGGAGGCGGUACUCGCAGAAGAAGCACCGGCUAACACCGUGCCAGCAGCCGCGGUAAUUC
rnacentral:rRNA from 1 species